rnacentral:tRNA from 1 species
ACUGCGUCGGCGACGGCGACGUCGGUCCGCUGGGUGAGCGCGAUGAGGUCGUUGGUGGCUUCGGUGCGGUUCAGGUGCCCCAUCGCGGUG